rnacentral:misc_RNA from 1 species
CCUUUGUUCCUGAGUUAUAUGCAUUUGUGUAAUAGUAACAUCUGCCGCAGUGGUGGGACUGCUCCACCCUUAGUCAGAGUUCUCGUUGGGAGCGAAUCCAUGAAUGGGCCUGCCAGAAGUGUAUGAUUUGGAUUUAGUCGGGCCUGGGCGGGGAGAAGAAAAACAUCAACCGGUUCUUGAAGGUGAAAUCCUGUACUCCUGGAAGUGUUUGGUGUUUGUUUCUUGACUCUCUUUAUUUUUGUUUUGUUUUGGUGUAUAUAAAGUGGUAUUAUCUGUGGUUUAUUUGUUACAGUUAGC